rnacentral:rRNA from 1 species
GACAGAGGGUGCAAACGUUGUUCGGAUUUACUGGGCGUAAAGCGCGUAUAGGCGGCUUUGCAAGUCGGAUGUGAAAUCCCACGGCUCAACCGUGGAAGUGCAUCCGAAACUGCAUCGCUCGAGUCUCGGAGAGGAAGGUGGAAUGCUUGGUGUAGAGGUGAAAUUCGUAGAUAUCAAGCAGAACACCUGCGGCGAAGGCGGCCUUCUGGACGAUGACUGACGCUGAGACGCGAAAGCGUGGGGAGCAAACAGG